UUUUGGCUUCAGAAGCGCAACAGAGGCACGCUGAAGCCUAUUGUUACGCUUGACCCUUGGAAACGUGAAGACCACUUUUACGGAAGGAGUUUUGGAAACCGUUACAAAUGGGGAUAAUAUAAAUAGAGCCAAGAAGCAAACCCUGCAGCUCUCUCUUCUUCGUGCUUUUUUUUUCUCUUCCAGCCUUGCAAGCAUACUUUACAGCAUUAUUUUUUUACAGUUUUUACUUUUCUUUGCAAUUUUUAUUUUCUUUUCCAGUCAAUCUUUCAGCACUUAAUUAAUUUUUCACACAAUAGUUUCUACACCGGAAACUAUUGUGUAUCUUUUACCGGAUCUAACCUUACGU
rnacentral:lncRNA from 1 species